UUUUCACAAGCAGGGGAAAAGCAGCACCUAGGGAGCUAGGCUUUUAAUAACCACCUGAUGGUAAUCUCACAGACUCCACAAAACAUAGGCUGGUAGCUUCCUACUUGCAAAGUAUAUUAUGCUUAGUGAAUGAACAUCAGCCCCAACAGUGCUUAGCUCCAGAAAGCAACCCUUGCCUUCUUCACAACUAGGUCUUUUGUAUACCUAAGGCAAAUGAGCCACUACACUGCCAAAUUCCCUGUGUGCACUGUUCGUUACAGGAAAUUUCUGUAUGUUGAAAUCCACUUGACCGUGUUUUCUCUUGUGCAGAAACAUGAAUUGCUACGAAAAUACCUUCAUUUCACAAGUGGGGAAAAGCAGCACAUAGCGAGCUUGGGUGAUAACUGCCUGAGGGCAAUCUCCCAAACUGCAAAAACAAGAGGCUGGAAGCUUCCCAGUAGUAUAUUGUAUUCAGUGAACAAACACCAGUCACAAUGGGGGUUUGCUCUGGAAACAACACUUUUCUUUUUCCCACCUGAGCCUACCUUAUAACUAUGGCAAAGGAGCUGCUCCACUGCCAAAGGCUCUUUAUGUACUGGUUAUUUACAGGAGGUUUCAGUAGCCUGAAACCCAUCUUAUAUGUGUUCUCCUUUGUGGAGAAGCCUGAUAUGUUAUGAAAAUACCUUCUUUUCACAAGUGGGAAAAAGCCACAUAUAGCAGGCUAGGGUGAUAACUGCCUGAAUUCAAUCACAGAAACUCCACAAAACAAGAGGCUGGAAGCUUCCUACUCACAAAGCGUGUUAUACUCAGUGAAGGAACACCAGCUCCAAUGGUGGAUUGCUCCAGAAAGCAACCCUUGCCUUUUUGCCACCAAAUGAGUGGAGUGGCAAAUGAGCCACUCCACUGCCAAAUCCUCUGUGUGCACUGGUUGUUUACAGGAUGUUUCAGUAGCUUGAAACACACUCAAAAAGUUUUCUCAUUCUUGGAGAAGCCUGAAUUGCUCUGAAAAUGCUCUCUUUCCACAAGCAGUGAAAAGCAGCACAUAUUGAGUUAGGGUGAAUAUCUCCUGAUGGCAAUCUCAGAAACUCUGCAAAACAAGAGGUUGGAAGCUUCCUAAUUCCAAAGUAUUUGGUACUCAGUGACCAAACACCAGAACCAAUGGUGGUUAGCUGCCGAAAGCAACCCUUCCCUAUUUCCCGUAUAGGCCUUUGCUAUAUUUAGUGCGAAUGAGCCACUCCAUUGCCAAAUGCUCUGUGUGUACCGGUUGUUUACAGGAGGUUUCAGUAGCUUGAAACUCACUUGAAAUGUGUUCUCUUUGUGGAGAAGCCUGAUUGGUUAUGAAAAUGCCUUUUUUUCACAAGCAGUGAAAAACAGAACAUAUCGAGCAGAUAUCAAUCACACAAACUCCACAAAAGAAGUGUCUGGAAGCUUCCUACUUGCAGUGUAUACUGUACUCAGUGAACAAACACCAGCCCCUAGGUUUGUUUGCUCCAGAAAGCAACACUUGAGUUUUUCCACAAAUGCCUGUGUUACACAUAGAGUGAAUGAUCCAUUCCGCUGCCAAAUGUUCUGUGUGUAUUAGUUGUUCACAGGUUUCAGUAGCUUGCAACUCACUCAAAAAGUGUUCUUUCUCCUUUGUGGAGAAACCUGAUUUGCUACGAAAAUGUCUUUUCACAAGCGGGAAAAGCAGCACUCAUCAAGCUUGGGCAAUAAUUCCCUGAUGUCAAUCUCACAAACUUCAAAAAACAAGAGGCUGGAAGAUGCCUACUACACAAAGUAUGUUGUAUUCAGUGAACAAACACCAGCCCCAAUGGUGAUUUGCUCCGGAAAGCAACCCUUGCCUUCUUUCCAACCUAGGGCUAUGAUAUACCUAGGGCAAAGGUCCCACUGCCCUGCCAAAUGCUCUGGGUGCACUGAUUGAUUACAGGAGGAUUCCCUAGCUUGAAUCCCACUCAAAAGCUGUUCUCCUUUUUAGAGACACUCGAUUUACUGUGAAAAAGCCUUCUUUUCAGAAGUGGAGAAAAACAGCACGUAGGGAAGUAGGGUGAUAACCACCUCAUAACAAUCUCACAAAGGCCAGAAAACAAGGUGCUGGAAGCUUCCUACUUGCCAAGUAUAUUGUACUUGGUGAACAAACAUCAGCCCCAAUGGUGGUUUGCUUUGGAUAGCAACCCUUGCCUUUUUCCCGCCUUGGCCUGUGUUAUACCAAGGUCAAAUGAGACCCAGCACAGGCAAACUCUCUGUGUGCACUGCUUGUUUGUUAAGCAUCUUCAGAGGCUUAAAACCAACUCAAAUGUGUUCUCCUUUGUGGAGAAGUCUGAUUUGGCAUGAAAACGCCUUCUUUUCAGAAGGGCGGAGAAUCAGAACAUAGCAAGCUUGGGCAAUAAUCACCUGAUGGCAAUCUCACCAACUCCACACUACAAGAUGCUGGAAGCUUCCUACUUGAAAAGUAUAUUGUACUCAGUGAACGAACACCAGCCCCAAUGGUGGUUUGCUUCGGAAUGCAACCCUUGCCUUUUUCCCACCUAGGCCUCUGUUAUACCAUUGUGUUGUAUGCAAUCCCUAUCAAGUUACAGGACAUUUUUCACAGAACUACAACAGAGUCCAAAAAUUUAUAUGGAAGCAUCAAAAACCCAGAAUUGCCAAAGCAAUCCUGAGGAACAAGAACCAAGCCGGAUGUAUAACUCUUCUAGACUUCAGACAAUAAUACAAAGCUACCGAAAUGAAUAAUGUGUGAAACUGGUACCAAAACUGACCUACAUAUCAAUGGAACAAAACAGAGAUCCCAGAAAGAAACCCAGACAACUACAGUCAAUUAAUCUUCAACAAAGGAGGCAAGAAUAUAUAAUGUGCAAAACACAGUCUCUUCAGCAAGUGCUGCUUGGCAAACUAGACAGCUGCAUGUAAAUCAAUGAAACUAGAACACACCCUCACACCAUGAACAAAAAUAAACUCAAAAAUAGCUCAAAGACUUCAACAUAAGUCAAGACACAAUAAAACUCCUAGAAGAGAACCUAGGCAAGACAUUCUCUGACAUCAACCAUAUAAAUAUCUUCUCCCAAAUCAAUAGAAAUAAAAACAAAAAUAGGAAUUCCCAUCAUGGCUCACUGGAAACAAAUGUGACUAGUACCCACGAGGAUGCAGGUUCAAUCCCUGGCCUCACUCAGUUAAGGAUCUGGUGUUGCAGUAAGCUAUGGUGUAGGUUGAAGAUGCGGCACGGAUCACACUUUGCUGCAGCUGUGGUGUAGGCUGGCAACUACAGCUCCAAUUCAACUCCUAGCUGGGAAACUCCAUAUGCUGCAGGUGCAACCCUAAAAAGACCAAAAAACAUAAAUAAAAAAAAUUUUAAAAAGAAAUAAAAACAAAAAUAUACCAAUGGGACCUAAUCAAACUUACAAGCUUUUUGCACAGCAAAGGAAAUCAUUUUUAAAAAAUGAACAGAAUGAUAGAAAAUAAUUUCAAAUGAUACAACUGACAAGGGAUUAAUCUCUAAAAUAUACAAACAACUUAUACAACUCAAGAGCAGAAAAAGAAGCAAUCCAAUUGAAAAAUGGGCAGAAAAAAAUCAUGGACUUGGAGAAUAGACUUGUGGCUGCCCGGGGGGAGAGGGAGGGAGUAGGAGGGAUCGGGAGCUUGGGGUUAUCAGAUGCAAACUAUUGCUCUUGGAAUGGAUAUACAAUGAGAUCCUGCUGUGUAGCACUGAGAACUAUGUCUAGAUAUUUACAUCGCAACAGAAAAAUGGGAGGAAAGAGAAUGCAUACAUGUAUGUAUAACUUGGUCCCCAUGCUGUACAACAGAAAAAAAAAAAAAAAAAAAAAAACGAGGAAACCAAAAAACAACAACAACAAAAAAAUGGGCAGAAGACCUGAAUAGACAUUUCACCAAAGAUGAUAUACAGAGACUCUCAUACUAAGUGAAGUAAGCCAGAAAGAGAAAGACAAAUAUGAUAUGGUAUCAGUUAUAUCUGGAAUCUAAUAUACAGCACAAAUGAACCUUUCUUCAGAAAAUAAAAAAAGUCAUGGUUUGGAGAACAGACUCAUGAUUGCCAAGGAUGAGGGGGAGGGAGUGGGAUGGACGGGGAGUUUGGGGUUAAUAGAUGCAAACCUGCCUUUGGAGUGGAUAAGCAAUGAGAUUCUGCUGUAUAGCACAGGGAACUAUAUCUAGUCACUUGAGAUGGAACUUGAUGGAGGAUAAUGUGAGAAAAAGAAUGUGUAUGUAUAUGUAUAUGUAUGACUGGGUCGCUUUGCUGUGCAGCAGAAGUUGACAGAACAAUGUAAAUGAAGUAGAACAGAAAAAAUAAAAACCUAAAAAAGAAAGUGAGGUCGCAGACGCGGCUCUGGCGUAGGCUGGUGGCUACAGCUCCAAUUCGACCCCUAGCCUGGGAACCUCCAUAUGCUGCAGGAGCGGCCCAAAGAAAUAGCAAAAAGACUAAAAAAAAAAAAAAGAAAGAAAGUGAAGGGAUGGAAAAUAUAUUUCAUGCAAAUGGAAAUGACAAGAAAGUAUCUCAAUAAUAAUGUCAGAUGAAAUACACUUUAAAACAAAGGCCAUUAAGAAAGAUAGAGAAGGAGACUAUUUCAUGAUUAAAGGUUCAAUUCAAGGUGAGGACAUUACACUCAUCAACAUAUAUGCUCCUGGAGUUCCCAUUGUGGCUCAAUGGAAAACAAUCUGACUAGUAUCCAUGAGGAUGCAGGUUCAACCCCUGGCCUUGCUCAGUGGGUUGAGGAUCUGACAUUGCCCUGAGCUGUGGUAUAGGUUGCAGACACAGCUUGUAUCUGGUGUUUCUGUGGCUGUGGCAUAGGCCAGUGGCCACAGCUCUGAUUUGACCCCUAGCCUGGGAAUCUCCACAUGCCGUGGGUUUGGCCCUAAAAAGACCAAAAAAAAAAAAAAAAAAAAAUCCUCCUAAUGUAGGAGCACCCAAUAACACACAACAAAUACUAAAAGACAUAAAAGGAGAAACUAUGGGAAUACAAUAAGAGUAGAAGACUUUGGAGUUCCCAUCGUGGCUCAGUGGUAAAGAACCCAACUAGUAUCCAUGAGGGUGUAGGUUCAAUUCCUGGCCUUGCUCAGUGGGUUAAGGAUCCUGCACUGCUGUGGCUUUGGCAUAGGCCAUCAGCUGCAGCUCUGGUUCAACCCCUAGCCUGGGAAUUUCCAUAUUCUGCAGGUGCAGCACUAAAAAAAGCAAAAAAA
rnacentral:lncRNA from 1 species